GGAUCGAUUAGCAUGCUAGUCGCACGGGUUUAGACCCGUGGCAGAUAGCUCAGUAACACGUGGCCAAACUACCCUAUGGACUGGAAUAACCUCGGGAAACUGAGGCUAAUUCCGGAUACGGCUCUCGUGCUGGAGUGGAGAGAGUUCGAAACACUACGGUGCUGUAGGAUGUGGCUGCGGCCGAUUAGGUAGACGGUGGGGUAACGGCCCACCGUGCCAAUAAUCGGUACGGGUCGUGAGAGCAAGAGCCCGGAGACGGUAUCUGAGACAAGAUACCGGGCCCUACGGGGCGCAGCAGGCGCGAAACCUUUACACUGCACGACAGUGCGAUAAGGGGACUCCGAGUGCGAGGGCAUAUAGCCCUCGCUUUUCUGCACCGUAAGGAGGUGCAGGAACAAGAGCUGGGCAAGACCGGUGCCAGCCGCCGCGGUAAUACCGGCAGCACGAGUGAUGGCCGAUUUUAUUGGGCCUAAAGCGUCCGUAGCUGGCCACACAAGUCCGUUGGGAAAUCUACCCGCCUAACGGGUCGGCGUCCGGCGGAAACUGCCUGGCUUGGGACCGGAAGACCCGAGGGGUACGUCCAGGGUAGGAGUGAAAUCCCGUAAUCUUGGACGGACUACCGAUGGCGAAAGCACCUCGGGAACACGGAUCCGACAGUGAGGAACGAAAGCUGGGGUCUCGAACCGGAUUAGAUACCCGGGUAGUCCCAGCUGUAAACGAUGUCCGCUAGGUGUGGCACAGGCUACGAGCCUGUGCUAUGCUGUAGUGAAGACGCGAGCGGACCGCCUGGGAAGUACGUCUGCAAGGAUGAAACUUAAAGGAAUUGGCGGGGGAGCACUACAACCGGAGGAGCCUGCGGUUUAAUUGGACUCAACGCCGGACAUCUCACCAGCACCGACAGCAAUCAGUGAAGGCCAUUUGAUGAACUUUCCCGAAGCCCAGAGAAGAAGGUCCAGGCCCCCGUCAAGUUGUUCCGGGAAGCAUCCUGGUUAAUCCGGCCACGAAGGAAGCCCGGCUUCGUUAUUUCCCACCACCAUCAUGGGAUGGCUGGGUACAUUAGGGGGACUGCCGCGGCCAAAGCGGAGGAAGGAGCGGGCAACGGUAGGUCAGCAUGCCCCGAAUGUGCCGGGCAACACGCGGGCUACAAUGGCCGAGACAGUGGGAAGCCAUCCCGAGAGGGAGCGCUAAUCCCAUAACCUCGGUCGUAGUUCGGAUCGAGGGCUGAAACCCGCCCUCGUGAAGCUGGAUUCGGUAGUAAUCGCGUGUCAGAAGCGCGCGGUGAAUACGUCCCUGCUCCUUGCACACACCGCCCGUCAAAGCACCCGAGUGGGGUCCGGAUGAAGCCAUGCAUUGCCGCAAUGGUCUGAAAUCUGGGCUCCGCAAGGGGGCUUAA
rnacentral:rRNA from 1 species